rnacentral:lncRNA from 1 species
AAAUCCCCUCGGCUCCUGCUCCAGCGGCAUGAUGUGAUCCACCAGCUAGGAGGGAUGCCAAUAAGGCAUCCGAUAAGUGGUUGGGACUAGAGACUGAGACUUCAAUAAUAGACUCCUCAAUAAGACAAUCCACAGCAAAGCUGGGAGACAUCCAGACCAACACACAUGCAAAUUGGAACACAAGAACAUUAAAGAACAAAUUUCCCUGUAAGACUUCUUAACAGUGAAGGAUUACUACACUGAAGAAUGAAGGGAGUUCCAUAGUUUCGUGGAUGGAGACUUAUCUGAUCUCAGCGAGGGAAAGCAAAGACCAGACUGUGAGAUCUUCAACUUUACAGAAAUGCUCAGACCAUGUUACUAGGUAACAAAGGAGCUUCCAUUCAUGGGUUUCUCUGUUGCUUUGGAGCCUAUCCUGGAACCAGCUCUUGCAGACCAAGCUGAUCUCGAACUCACAGAGAUCCAACUGUCUUUGCCUCCCAAGUGCUGGGAUUAAAGGCGUUUGCCCAUACUACCCUGCUAUUCCUGACUCUUGAUAACAGCCAUAAAGACAGAGAAUGGACAAACAGUCCUGUUAAACUCCUAUGUGUCCCCCGAGCGCGCGCUGUAUGUUCUCGCCAGCAAGAAAUACACGCAGGACACUCGGAUCCUUCUGCAGACAAGCUUUAAUGCAUAAGCUUACCAGAGCGGAGACUCUGAACCAAGAAAACCCAUCCCUAAUAAAGGCUGGCCAGCCGCCUGGGACGUGUUACCCUAUGAAUGGCUUCAGCUCCUCAGGCCAAAUGAGCCACGGGAUAGGCAGAGAUCAAAGGAAUGGAGAUUACCCAGCGCCUGUGAAGUAAUUUACAUCUUGGUGUCUUUAGGCACCAUUAUUGUAAUGGAGGAUGCAGGAAACGGCCCCCUACAUAUCCCCCUUUUUUUAUUAAUUAAUGAUAAGGCUUUAUAUUUUUAUAAGCAAAUAGGUCACCCAUAUGUUGAGGGAUAGAGGCAGAGGUUGAACCUUCCCAAAUCAAACAUUAAGACUGUGUACAAGAGUCACCAUCAGGCUGUUAGCUUGACCCGAAGUACUCUCGACCUGUCCUCUGCCGUUUUUCUGGGAAAGGGAGGCUCGGGCAGGUAACCCUUAUGCAGGUCAACGUACCUCUCAGAGAAGCCUACAUACUAGGCAACUCUGUGCGAUGCCUUUGCUCAGCAUCCCUCAUUGGGCUGCUCAAACCAGACACUCUACCCUGUGCAAUGAGCCUAGGCUCCGGGUGUGCAAGAGCUGUCUGGCCGGCGGCCUAUUGCUUAAGCAUAGUUAGCCAAAAUAUAAGCGCUUGGGCGAUCUCUCUUUAGUUUUGAGCCUAGAGCUUACAUACCAGCCAAAAGUAACACCAAUCCGCAAACGGCUGCAUCAAACAAUUCCACCCCCACCCCUUUCUCACAGACCAGCCAGAAGUAACAGCAAUCCGCAAACGGCUGCAUCAAACAAUCCCAUCCCCACCCCUUUCUCUCCGGCAAGGACAGGAGUUAAUCUGGAUAACAAUAGCGGCUCUCAACUCCCGGGGAGAGGGUGGAGUUCCGACUUUUGAAGGUCCGAAGGGGCUCUUCGGGUUGAGUCUUUUUGGGAUCCACAGGGGAUUCUCUUCAUCCUGUGGAAAAACACAAUAUCGCUCCCCUGGAUCUUAUGAGAAUAGGAUCCGGGCCUCUCCAAAGAUCAGUUAAGAUAUCUUUCCAUUUUACCAUUUCCUUUUGGCCUUUUAGGUUUUGAGGUGAGACACUUGGCCCGAGCGUCAAUGUUUAUGAGGCUUUAAAGCCCCAGGCAUUCCAGGCCUUUAAGAAGUGUUGAAUAGCAGGCAUGGCCUUUUCCCCUAUCAAAGACUGGGAAAGCCAUCUGUAAUUUCCUUCACUCCUCUGAUGGUAAGAAGGAGUCGGUACCAAAUAAUGGGGGUGCUGAUAGAAGUACACCCGCUGAAUUAAUAGGCGAUGGCCUCAUAUUUGCUUUCACUUUUGGCAGCCGAUAUCUAUCGGGGUGGUAUCGUGCUGCCUCCUCCUCUAGCUCUGCUUCCUUGCUAGAGUCUAAAAUCUCAGAGUCUGAGCUGCUCAGCUCCAAGGCCUCUAGUUUCAUUGUAGGGCAGAGGCUAGGUUUUGAGUCUUUAUUUCUCUUAAAUUUACCGGGGUGUGACCGGUUAUUCCCUAUUUUCUCUCCCUCCUUUUUUGUUUCUUUUUCAUCUAGCUGAGCUGUUUUCUCUAAAACUUUAUCUCUUGAGCUUUCAGAGUCAUCAGAGCUAUCAAGAUUUAAAGCUUUAAACUUAUUUACAGAAUCAUCUAACAAAUUAUUCACUCCCUUGUCAUUAGACAUCCUAGGAGGUCCUUUUUUCUUAUUUGUUGUUGUUUCUUUUAACAAAUUAUUCACUCCCUUGUCACUAGACAUCCCGGGAGGUCCUUUUUUCUUAUAUUUUAUUGUUAGGCGCGCCCCAUCUCUCACCACAUUCGGUUUCUGAUAUGUAAUUCUGGACUUCUUUAAGAUUGUUACAACAGUGAGAAAAGUCAAAAUAGCUCCUAGUAAAAGCAUAGAAGCCUCUAUAUUAACCUCCCAAAAUAGCAACAUUCCCAAGCCAAAGUCCAGAAAAAACAUACCUCUCCGAAUUUACCACCCUGCAGUUCUGAAUCCGCCCCGUUAGAGGGGUCUCCGUGGCGCCGGAGAUGUUCACACGCUCCCGGGUUUCGGCACCAGAUGUCCCGCGCGCUGUAUGUUCUCGCCAGCAAGAAAUACACGCAGGACACUCGGAUCCUUCUGCAGACAAGCUUUAAUGCAUAAGCUUACCAGAGCAGAGACUCUGAACCAAGAAAACCCAUCCCUAAUAAAGGCUGGCCAGCCGCCUGGGACAUGUUACCCUAUGAAUGGCUUCAGCUCCUCAGGCCAAAAUGAGCCACGGGAUAGGCAGAGAUCAAAGGAAUGGAGAUUACCCAGCGCCUGUGAAGUAAUUUACAUCUUGGUGUCUUUAGGCACCAUUAUUGUAAUGGAGGAUGCAGGAAACGGCCCCCUACACCUAUGCAUAUGGAUACUUGUGAGUAGCACUUCUGCCUUCUGCUAACCUUUCCCUCUGACUCCAGAGUCUCCACUGAUCCCUGCUUCACUGCUUAUCAUGUGUCUUCAAACAUAUCUGUGGUCUCCACAUCAGGCCUUUCUCCAAAAUAUUCUGAGACUCAUAAGGUUAAACAUUCAGUGAUGACCACUUUUGGAAGGCUGGACUCAUCUUCCCUUGAUAACUAUAAUUGGACUCAUUAAAAGCAAGGAAAUUAGAACACAGUCUUUGGUGCCCCAGUGUCCUCAGCACUAUACCACAGUCUUUCAGACUCAGGUAAGCUCUCCAGCUGUCUCAGCUGCUCCAAAACUCCUGCUUAGGUCCAGGGUAGGAGCCCCAUGCUUGUUCUCUUUUGCCUUGAUUUUGAGGUGCCACCUUUUAGCUAAAGGAAGAGGCGGGUUCACAGGUCUGUCACCCAAGCACCCCUCUACUGUGACUCUACCUGGUUUUUUUUUUUUUUUGAUAAUGCUGUAUUUAAUAAUUUUUAAAAUUCAGUUUUCAUAAGAUCACAUACCUGCAUUUUGUGCCAAAGGCAAAUUUUAAUAUUUAUUAUAUGAGAAAAUAUUUUGCCUUUAGAACUAUGUAGUUUGCCUCAAUGCAUGCUGUGGGCCCUACUCAGCUUUACUGCCUCUUAAAACUUCACUUUAAAGGUCAGCACUAUUAUUUUUUUGUUUUGCUUAUUUUUUUCAAAAAUAAAUAUGUGGACCAGUCUAACCUUGAACUACAAUAACAUCCUACCUCAGGCUCCUAAAUUCUGAAAUUAUAUUCAGGUAUUA